rnacentral:rRNA from 1 species
GUCCCAGUUCGGAUUGCAGUCUGCAACUCGAGUGCAUGAAGCUGGAAUCGCUAGUAAUCGCGGAUCAGAAUGCCGCGGUGAAUACGUUCCCGGGUCUUGUACACACCGCCCGUCACACCAUGGGAGUCGGGAAUGCCCGAAGCCGGUGGCCCAAUCGAAAGAAGGGAGCCGUCGAAGGCAGGCCGGAUGACUGGGGUGAAGUCGUAACAAGGUACC